GUCGCCUCCCUCCAAGGUCAUCCUCCUCUUGGGAGGGGUCAAAAGGUUGUGGAGGGAACCCAGGCAGCCAUUACAGGAAGAAGGAUCCAGUACCUAUCCCCCCCCACAGAGAAUUCCAGCAAAGGGGAGGGCCCUCAAGAGGACAAAAACAGGAAGAAGAGACAGAAUGGAGAGAAGGAAGAAGUCAAAACAAAAGGGCGCCCGCGUUGCAGCCGCCACCUCCACCCACCGCCUUCUCCGGCUCUCGUCAGACACAGCUGCCGCGCCUCCCCUGGACCGGGAUGUCAGGAAGCUCAACCCUCUAUUGGCCCAAUCCGCCGUCACUCUUCCGUUGCUAUGAAACUUGCGCUGUUCUUAUUGGCUGACUCUCAUUGCUCUCUUUUUCCUGCCUCUCCUUGGUCCCCAGUCGGUGCCCUGACAAAACCCCACCACGCCCACUCUGUCAAUAAAUCCAGCGGACUAUA